rnacentral:rRNA from 1 species
UCCGAAGGGGGCUAUCGUUGCUCGGAAUCACUGGGCGUAAAGCGCACGUAGGCGGCUUCUUAAGUCAGGGGUGAAAUCCUGGGGCUCAACCCCAGAACUGCCCUUGAUACUGAGGAGCUUGAGUCCGGGAGAGGUGAGUGGAACUUCGAGUGUAGAGGUGAAAUUCGUAGAUAUUCGGAAGAACACCAGUGGCGAAGGCGGCUCACUGGCCCGGUACUGACGCUGAGGUGCGAAAGCGUGGGGAGCAAACAGG